GUGAACGCUGGCGGUAGGCCUAACACAUGCAAGUCGAACGGCAGCACAGUAAGAGCUUGCUCUUACGGGUGGCGAGUGGCGGACGGGUGAGGAAUACAUCGGAAUCUACUUUUUCGUGGGGGAUAACGUAGGGAAACUUACGCUAAUACCGCAUACGACCUACGGGUGAAAGCAGGGGAUCUUCGGACCUUGCGCGAUUGAAUGAGCCGAUGUCGGAUUAGCUAGUUGGCGGGGUAAAGGCCCACCAAGGCGACGAUCCGUAGCUGGUCUGAGAGGAUGAUCAGCCACACUGGAACUGAGACACGGUCCAGACGCCUACGGGAGGCAGCAGUGGGGAAUAUUGGACAAUGGGCGCAAGCCUGAUCCAGCCAUACCGCGUGGGUGAAGAAGGCCUUCGGGUUGUAAAGCCCUUUUGUUGGGAAAGAAAAGCAGCAGGUUAAUACCCCGCUGUUCUGACGGUACCCAAAGAAUAAGCACCGGCUAACUUCGUG
rnacentral:rRNA from 1 species